rnacentral:rRNA from 1 species
CCCGGCGCACGGGUGAGUAACGCGUGGGUAACCUGCCUCAUACAGGGGGAUAACAGUUAGAAAUGACUGCUAAUACCGCAUAAGACCACAGCACCGCAUGGUGCAGGGGUAAAAACUCCGGUGGUAUGAGAUGGACCCGCGUCUGAUUAGCUGGUUGGUGGGGUAACGGCCUACCAAGGCGACGAUCAGUAGCCGGCCUGAGAGGGCGACCGGCCACAUUGGGACUGAGACACGGCCCAA